UACGGAGGGUGCAAGCGUUAUCCGGAUUCACUGGGUUUAAAGGGAGCGUAGGUGGCUUUGUAAGUCAGUGGUGAAAUGUCGCGGCUCAACCGCGAAACUGCCAUUGAUACUGCUUAGCUUGAAUCACGUCGAGGUGGAUGGAAUAUUACAUGUAGCGGUGAAAUGCUUAGAUAUGUAAUAGAACACCGAUUGCGAAGGCAGUUCACUAGGCGUGUAUUGGCACUGAGGCUCGAAAGCGUGGGGAUCAAACAGG
rnacentral:rRNA from 1 species